rnacentral:rRNA from 1 species
AGUCAAAGUAGGCAAAUCCGCUUUGAUAAUGCUGGGAUGUGAUGGGGAGCGAAAUUUAGUAGCGAAGUAGCUGAUUUCACACUGUCAAGAAAAGUCUCUAUCGAGGUUAAAGGUACCCGUACCGCAAACCGACACAGGUGGGUGAGGAGAGUAUCCUAAGGCCAGCGAGAGAACUGUUGUUAAGGAACUCGGCAAAAUGACCCCGUAACUUAGGGAUAAGGGGUGCCACCAUCAGGUGGCCGCAGAGAAUAGGCCCAAGCGACUGUUUACCAAAAACAUAGGUUUCUGCUAAGUCGCAAGACGAUGUAUAGGAGCUGACGCCUGCCCGGUGCUGGAAGGUUAAGGGGAUCUGUUAGAGCAAUCGAAGCAGUGAACUUAAGCCCCAGUAAACGGCGGCCGUAACUAUAACGGUCCUAAGGUAGCGAAAUUCCUUGUCGGGUAAGUUCCGACCCGCACGAAAGGCGUAACGAUUUGGGCACUGUCUCAACAACAGACUCGGUGAAAUUGUAAUUCCGGUGAAGAUGCCGGAUACCUGCGACAGGACGGAAAGACCCCAUGGAGCUUUACUGUAGCUUGACAUUGGGUCUUGGUACUACAUGUACAGGAUAGGUGGGAGGCUUUGAAACCAGGACGCCAGUUUUGGCGGAGCCAUCCUUGGGAUACCACCCUUGUA